ACCACCGAAGGAGCAGAGAACGAAGGAAUCCAAUCAAAACAUAAAAUUCACGACGCUUAUGGCUCUCGUCCGGGUGGUGUACAUCCCGCCGGCGUACUCAACUAUGAUCAUUCAAGUCUGUAAUACACGAACGUGCUGGCGGAGUCCCCUAUCCAUACCAUGCCAUACCCAGUAAAAGACCCGAUCGGAUGUUGAACAUAUGCAGCCACAAUACAAAGACGACACGAUCUUGAGACUUUGCCCAGGCGGCAGUGGAUGUGUAAUUUUCUCUAACGAUAUCCAGAAAUGUGUAUACUCUUCGGUCGAUACCAUGCGGGAUAAGACGGUACAAUUUAGAUAAUUCGUUAAAGAGUGCUCCUUUAUUCACAGAGUGAAACAGUGUUCAAUGGUUUAGUGUUACGCUAAUGUGGUGUAUUCUAAGAGAAAAAGAAUACGUUCCUGAUGGCGUCAUGACGCAAUACAUUUCAAAAUGUGAUAUGCAAGCCAAAUGCAAAAUUAGUGAAACGACGUUCUUUUACGAUGUGCAAAAAUGAUUAAAAGUGUGUCAUAUAUCCAGAUGAUGAAAAUUAAGUGAAGGCUACUUCUUUUCUGUGUGCAAAAUAGUCGUGUUUGUCAUAAUUAAUUCACUGCUUACUCGUUGUUUAUUCGUUCGACAUAUUUGUAGUAUACAUUUGCUGCCGAUCACCAUGUACUCAGACAACCCAAACUAUUUUGACGAAGAAGUUGCAACGAGAAGUAAUGAAACAAGCAGCAAAAGUUUCUUCCUGUUUAAGAAAAGAAAUUCCUCCAAUAAACUCACAGCAACAAAGUCAGUUCCUGUAAAUAAUGAUCAUCAGCCGGCGGCGCACAAACGGCGUGGAAGUUUUAAAGGUUUAUUGCGCUCACGCAGUAAUAGCACAACAUCGCCCUCGGUCAAGUCUGGUACGAAUACUAGGAAACAUAACACGCUAGACUACCGAAACCAUGGAGCUGACAGUAUCCGUGACAGAUGGGAUUCCUACAACGAAUCAUUUUCCGAAAACAGCGCCAAUGAUGAUGUAUUUUACUCGAAUUCCAUUGAUUCAAAAUGCACCAGCUUAUUUCAAGAAGGCAGAGAGAA